UCCGCCAGGGGACGGUGGCGGUGGCGGUUUACCCUCCACCGUUUUUUCAGAUCCGGUGGAAGGAGAAGCACAGAAAGAAUCAUAUCUUUGGCGUAAAUAAUUGAGAUAUUCACCACUAUAGCUGUGAUCGCCUUCAUAAUACUCACCAAGAUCGCAGUGCUCAUCGGUGCAAUGAUACUCAAAUGACUCCGUCUUGCCGACUUUAUCAUUGGCAGAAGAAAACCCAUGAAAACUCUCCGUUUUUUUGGAACCCAUCAACCCAAAAACUCAACCCAGAAACUCAAUAAAAUAAUCAGAAAACCCAGAAACGCAACCAAAAAACCCAGAAACUCAACCCAGAAACUCAACCAAGAUCAAUCCAAACCCAGAAACUCAACCAAGAUCAAUCAAAACCAAGAAAAACGCAAAAACUCAAAGAUCGAAUCAAGAUCUUCAACCCAAAAACCCAGAAACUCAACAAGAUUCGAAAAAAACCCAGAAAAACCCAGAAACUCAACCAAAGAAUCAAGAUCUUCAACCCAGAAAAACGAGAAACUCAAUGAAAACCCAAAAAAACGCACAUGCAAACACUUUUUUGAAAACUCAGAUCACAAAAGUAACCUAGAAACCCUAGAUCUUCCAGAUCUUCAACCAACUAAACCCAGAAAACAAAGAAACUCAACCAAACUCAAUCAAAAGCCAGAAAACACGGUAGUAUACAUUUUCAUUUGAGGCUUGCUGUUAUAGUGGUAGUGUUUACUUUUGUGCAGUUUCGAGGUGUGUGGUAUCCAGGUGCUCGGGCAGCAGGGCAAGUUGCGGCGGCAUCACUGAGGUUUGUGAGCUCUUAGGUCCGUUAGCAAUAAGGUACUUUAUCUUGCAAGAUAUCUUCAUUUACUCUCUCCAUCCAAAUCAGGUGUGCACUUAACCAGCUAAUCUUAUCCUCUUAUCCAAACUAAGUUGAUUACUCUGUUGAAAAAAGUUUAUGUUGCAAAUUUUAGCUGAAAGUUGCUUUCGGCUUUGGAUCAUUCUAACAAUUCUAUCUCUGGUAACAAGCUUUUAAAGCCCUUGAUGUUAACAAGAUGAAGUAAAAACAACAGAAUUAUACGAGGGAAACAGAUCAGGUGGAGCAGCAAAGGAUGUAAUCAGCAAACAGAUCAGGUGGAGCAGCAAACAACAAACAGCAAACAACAAACAGAUCAGGAUCAAGAUGAUGGAUUGGAUCGGAUAGCAAAUGAAGAUUAAAGUUGACAUUGAGAAUCAUGCAGACGUAAGGGAAACCAGUUGAAGAUGAAAAGAUAGAAGACAUUUAGUUUUGGAUUAUACAUUUUAGUUUUGGAUAUGAUCAUUUGAUUUUAUUUUGAACAUAAUAAUGUAAUUUUCAUAGAUCGUACAUCAAAUACUAUUAUUCUAAUUUGUUAAUUUGUUAGGGAGCGGGUGUGCUCCCUUCCUUUA